UAGUCCACGCCGUAAACGAUGAAUACUAGGUGUUGGGUGAUUAAUCGCUCAGUGCCGCAGCAAACGCAUUAAGUAUUCCACCUGGGGAGUACGAUCGCAAGGUUGAAACUCAAAGGAAUUGACGGGGGCCCGCACAAGCGGUGGAGCAUGUGGUUUAAUUCGAUGAUACGCGAGGAACCUUACCAGGGCUUAAAUGUAAGUUGCAUUAGCUAGAGAUAGCUAUUUCUUCGGACUACUUACAAGGUGCUGCAUGGUUGUCGUCAGCUCGUGCCGUGAGGUGUCAGGUUAAGUCCUAUAACGAGCGCAACCCCUGUUGUUAGUUGCCAGCAUGUAAAGAUGGGAACUCUAACAAGACUGCCGGUGCAAACCGUGAGGAAGGUGGGGAUGACGUCAAAUCAUCACGGCCUUUAUGCCCAGGGGCUACACACGUGCUACAAUGGUGCAUACAGAGGGGUUGCUAAGCCGCGAGGGUGGGAGCUAAUCCCAGAAA
rnacentral:rRNA from 1 species